rnacentral:rRNA from 1 species
GACUCCUACGGGAGGCAGCAGCGGGGAAUUUUGCGCAAUGGGGGAAACCCUGACGCAGCAACGCCGCGUGGAGGAUGAAGCCCCUUGGGGCGUAAACUCCUUUCGACCAAGACGAUAAUGACGGUACUGGUGGAAGAAGCACCGGCUAACUCUGUGCCAGCAGCCGCGGUAAUACAGAGGGUGCGAGCGUUGUUCGGAAUUAUUGGGCGUAAAGGGCGCGUAGGCGGUGCCACAAGUCACCUGUGAAAUCCCCGGGCUUAACCCGGGGCCUGCAGGCGAAACUGUGGUGCUGGAGUAUGGGAGAGGUGCGUGGAAUUCCCGGUGUGGCGGUGAAAUGCGUAGAUAUCGGGAGGAACACCUGUGGCGAAAGCGGCGCACUGGACCAUAACUGACGCUGAGGCGCGAAAGCUAGGGGAGCAAACAGGAUUAGAUACCCUGGUAGUCCUAGCCCUAAACGAUGAUUGCUUGGUGUAGCAGGUACCCAAUCCUGCUGUGCCGCAGCUAACGCGAUAAGCAAUCCGCCU